rnacentral:rRNA from 1 species
AUUGAACGCUGGCGGCAGGCCUAACACAUGCAAGUCGAACGCGUGGCGCACGGGUGAGUAAUGUCUGGGAAACUGCCUGAUGGAGGGGGAUAACUACUGGAAACGGUAGAUAAUACCGCAUACCCUCAGAUGUACCCAGAUGGGUUUCGCUUGUUGGUGGGGUAACGGCUCACCUAGGCGACGAUCCCUAGCUGGUCUGAGAGGAUGACCAGCCACACGGGAACUGAGACACGGCCCAGACUCCUACGGGAGGCAGCAGUGGGGAAUAUUGCACAAUGGGCGCAAGCCUGAUGCAGCCAUGCCGCGUGUAUGAAGAAGGCCUUAGGGUUGUAAAGUACUUUCAGCGGGGAGGCGUUACCCGCAGAAGAAGCACCGGCUAACUCCGUGCCAGCAGCCGCGGUAAUUC